AUCUAUCUAUCUAUCUAUCUAUCUAUCUAUCUAUCUGUCUGUCUGUCUCUCUCUCUCUCUGUCUCUGUCUCUCUCUCUGUCUCUGUCUCUCUCUCUCUCUCUCUCUCUCUCUGUCUCUGUCUCUCUCUCUCUCAGAUGGCAUGAGGGGCUCUGUCACAGGCCACACAAAGUCAGAGGAUGCAAAUGUUUGUUUAGUUUUUUAAAACCUUUAUCAUGUGUCUUAGAGUCAACACUAAAGAUCCAUUCCAAGGGAGAAGAGCGGUAAGGGCUAGGCAACUGAGGCCAAGUGACUCCCCCAGGGUCACAGAGCUAGGAAUGGUCUGAAGCCAGAUUUAAACUCAGGACUUCCUAACUCUAGGCCUGGUGUUCUCUCCACUGAGCCACCUAGAUGCCCACUAAAAUGGAGUCCCCACUCCAUAAAACAAACAAACAAACAAACAAAACCCCUUGUCUUCUGUCUUAGAAUCAAUAAGAAGCAUGGAUUCCAAGGCAGAAGAGCUGAAGAGCCUUAGGGCUAGACAAUGGCCAUUAAAUGACUUGUCUUGGGUCACACAGCUAGAAAGUGUCUGAGGCCACAUUUGAACCCAGGUCCUCCCAUCUCCAGAUCUGGUGUCCUAUCCACUGAUCUACCCACCUGCCCAGAAUGUAAACACCUAAAAGAGUGAUAUUCUAAAAUUGUACAGGUUUUGAAUCUUAUAUUUCCCUUUUGACAGAUACAUACAUUCCUUCAGCAGAGUAGAAACCAUUGCGUUUAGCCCUGAGCUAGCAAAAAUAUGCAGUUAAAAUAGGAAGUAUCCAGAUGGCCAGCUCCUCCCUGCCUCCCUUGGAUAGUCUCAGCAGGUCCCAGGGUCUCUAUCUCCUUUCCCCCAUGGCAGGGGGAUGGGAGGGGGCAGAAGAUCCGUAGUCUCCCCUCUCACUCACCUGAGUGUGUCGUAAUUACUUGCUCUAGUACUUUUUACAUCAUGAUUUCCAUAAUUCAUUUGAGGGAGCAUUUUGCAAUGGGCUCUCCAAUCAAGUUC
rnacentral:lncRNA from 1 species